rnacentral:rRNA from 1 species
GACGAACGCUGGCGGCGUGCUUAACACAUGCAAGUCGAACGGGAAGGCCUGCUUUCCCUUGUGGAUUGCGGGUACUCGAGUGGCGAACGGGUGAGUAACACGUGAGUGAUCUGCCCCCAACUUGGGUAUAAGCCUGGGAAACUGGGUCUAAUUCCCGAUAGGACUGCAGGGUGGUGCCUGUGGUGGAAAACGAUUUUCUAGUGGUUGGGGAUGAGCUCGCGGCCUAUCAGCUUGUUGGUGGGGUAAUGGCCUACCAAGGCGGCGACGGGUAGCCGGCCUGGGAGGGUGGACGGCCACAUUGGGACUGAGAUACGGCCCAGACUCCUACGGGAGGCAGCAGUGGGGAAUAUUGCACAAUGGGCGGAAGCCUGAUGCAGCGACGCCGCGUGGGAGAUGACGGCCUUCGGGUUGUAAACUCCUUUCGACCGCGAGGAAGCCACCUGGUUGGAAGGGUGGUGACGGUAGUGGUAGAAGAAGCACCGGCUAACUACGUG